CUAAUGGUUUUUGUCAAAACCAUAUAUUUGUUUUAAGAAAUUUAUU
rfam:Nicotiana sylvestris Nsyl_contig74227, whole genome shotgun sequence.